rnacentral:rRNA from 1 species
UACGGGGGGAGCAAGCGUUGUUCGGAUUUACUGGGCGUAAAGGGCGCGUAGGCGGCCACCGCAAGUCGACUGUGAAAUCUCCGGGCUUAACCCGGAAAGGUCAGCCGAUACUGCGGGGCUAGAGUGCAGAAGGGGCAACUGGAAUUCUCGGUGUAGCGGUGAAAUGCGUAGAUAUCGAGAGGAACACCUGCGGCGAAGGCGGGUUGCUGGGCUGACACUGACGCUGGUGCGCGAAAGCUAGGGGAGCGAACGGG